AGAAAUAUAUUAAAUAAAAAGAAUAAAUAAAAGUUUAUCAUUGAAAAAAACAACACACACAAAGUACCAAAAAUUGGUACUGUUGUUACGUACAGAUAUCGAUUCCCAGGUACUGGAUAUUGGUACCAAAUCGAUUCAAACGUCAAAGGUACCCAUCCCUAGUCAGGUGUGUGUGUGUGUGUGUGGGUGUGUGUGUGUUGGGGUGGGGGGGUCCGUUGUUGCUAUGGAGACAGGCAGAGAAGAACUAGGGCUGUGUGCUGGUUGGGGGCGGAGGGGCGCUUAGUGUCAGCUUGGAAACAGUCUUGCGGCCUCUGCACCUGCACUGCACAGUGCAUGACGAGCUGCAGGAAGCUGGAGGACAGGAAGUACAGGGUGUGCAACCCCCCCCCCCCCCCCC